rnacentral:rRNA from 1 species
AUGGAUCUCGCCUCCACCAAGUUACAUAUUACGAGGAAACAAAAUCAUCGUCACACAUCCGAUUCCUUCCUCCUCCGCACGCACGAAGCCGCCGCCGCUGCUUCUCACCUCGCCGCUAGAUCGGAAUCGAAGUCGUUGCUCAAAUCAAGAGAGAGAGAGAGAGAGAGAGAGAGAGAGAGAGAGAGAGAGAGAGAGAGAGAUCGGAUCAUAGGCGGACGAGCCGCCGGCGAGGAAUCCACGUCGGGUGGCUAUCCGUGGCCUCUCAAGCCCUCUCUUACUCCCCCCUCCUCCACCUCCCACCGCCCGGGCGCCGUCACCUCACCUUCCACAGGCCCCCUCGACCCUCGGCUAGACACCACGGCCGGGUCGCCGCCCCUCCCACCGCGAGGAAGACGACGACAGAGCAAGGCGGCGGCGCUGGGCUGCACGUCGAGCCUCCCUCAGUGGCCUCCGUCCUCCAUACCGAUGCUCCGUCCCCCGUUUCAAUCGGCUCUGCUGCAACUUCGCCUGAAGACCGGUGCUCUGCCUUGA